CACUGAUCUCCCUGCUGGGGAGAUGACUCCCACCCAGAAGAGCAUGAGGCAGCUAUGGGAGAUCUACUCUGGGACAGAAGGUAUUGCAUACAGAGGAAGCAGGACUCCUUUGCCUUGGGGUGUGUGGAACAGCCCUGGUCUCAUGGUCCCUGGGAAUAAUGAAGGUUCUUCAUUCCAGAACCUUCCUCUGGAAUCCUUCGGGAGUCGUGCCUCACCACCCACAACCCAGACGCUCUGUAGGGAGGCCACACCCACCUCUGCUGUGUAAGACCCCUUGGCGGUGGUGCUGGAGGCUGUUGGACUCUGAGGAAAGGUUGAGGCCCCCAUGCUCGCCUGAAGGCGGACUGAAGGAGAAAGCGUGGGCUGGGGGAACUCCGGUGUGCUCUUCUUUCACGGACGUCAGAAUGACCUGGAAGGCCCGUUACAUUGCAGAGGCGGUGGGGGGCUCCUGCCGGACUUCUGUCUCGGCAGUUCCAACAUGGGGCCCAAGAAAAGAAGCGCCUUUCUCACCAGCUCUCAGGUUAACGAAGUUGUCAAGACCGGAUAGUAUCGGGCAAAGCUGGGGCUCUUAUCCAGAUCCACAGUGACUUGGGGGACACUCUCUGCUCCCUGGAGGGAAUGUGGAAGAGACCCUUGACCCUGACCUGUGGGGUCUAUAGGGGAAGAGAGACGACCGGCCAAAGACCAUGUUCAGGCCCUUCCACUGUGAGCGUCCGCUGUAGACAACGCCCCCUUGCCGGUGAAGGCGAAGAGGCAGGUGUCAGAAAGUGGCAGCUGCUGGAUACACCCUCAGGAAUCCGAAAUCUCUGUUCCUUCACACACUCCGCCAGAAAAUCCCCUCGCCUCCGAAACAGACCCAGCACCUCGACGUGCGAUGGCAGCCCAGGUCAGGAGCCGGGGAGUGGGGUUCACACGCAGGAGGCCUUCCCUCGGCAAGGAACAGCAGCGAGACCCUUUCCAGGGCUGGGCCCCGCUUUCCAGACCUGGUGGGGAAUGUUCUUUCAGCCCC